UAUGAUCUCUAAGUUGUCAUUGCAAACAUGUUUCUCUCACAACAAAACUAAAUCAGGCAUGAUGAGCUAGUCAUAUUUCCAAAAAGAAAAUAGAUCGAGUUCAUACCAGCUUUUCCAGGCUCAGUCACUUCAUCAUAUAUCGUCAUUAUUGCCUUUCACUUGCACGACCGAACGAUGUGAACAAUAGUAAGAGUGCUCGUGCAUUGGACUACGCUGGAAU
rnacentral:lncRNA from 1 species